rnacentral:rRNA from 1 species
AACGUAGGUACCGAGCGUUAUCCGGAUUUACUGGGCGUAAAGCGCGUUCAGGCGGUUUGACAAGUCGGGCAUGAAAUCUCUCGGCUCAACCGGGAGAGGUUGUCCGAUACUGUCAGACUUGAGGGCAGUAGAGGGUGGUGGAAUUCCGGGUGUAGUGGUGAAAUGCGUAGAUAUCCGGAGGAACACCAGUGGCGAAAGCGGCCACCUGGACUGUACCUGACGCUCAAACGCGAAAGCUAGGGGAGCGAACGGG